rnacentral:misc_RNA from 1 species
GGAAGGCCUCGUAGGGUGUAAACUGCAUAUAAAAAAAAGAAAUUGCUUUAUUUGAAAACUUCACUUGUUAGUUAGGCAUAUAGGUUGAUAAUGCAUGGAUUGAUGGCUAUACAUGUUGGAAUUGGGCUAAUAUCCUGAAAACAUCCAAUGUUAUUAAAUGAUUUGAGUGUUGUGUUAGAAAUGCACCUUGUGAGAAUUACAAAAUUGGGUUCAUUUCUCGUUCUAUUUUUUAACUUUCAGGUGCUCCCAAGAUGGGUCAUA